AACGAGAAACUGAUUAGCUUGCUUUGAAGUUUCUAGUGGCGGACGGGUUACUAACACGUGAGUAACUUGCCUCAUAGUGGGGGAUAGUCCUGGGAAACUGGGUUUAAUACCGCAUACGACCUUCGGGUUAAAGAGGGCUUCGGCUCUUGCUUUGAGAUAGGCUCGCGUCCUAUCAGCUAGUUGGUGAGGUAAUGGCUCACCAAGGCAACGACGGGUAGUUGGUCUGAGAGGACGACCAGCAACACUGGAACUGAGACACGGUCCAGACACCUACGGGUGGCAGCAGUCGAGAAUCAUUCACAAUGGGGGCAACCCUGAUGGUGCAACGCCGCGUGGAGGAAGAAGGCCCUAGGGUCGUAAACUCCUGUCAUAAUAGAGUAAGGCAUAUUAGUUAAAACCUAAUAUGUUUGAUAGUAUAUUAAGAGGAAGGGACGGCUAACUUCGUGCCAGCAGCCGCGGUAAUACGAACGUCCCGAGCGUUAUUCGGAAUCACUGGGCGUAAAGGGAGCGUAGGCGGCGUGGUAAGUCAAAUGUGAAAGCCCAGGGCUCAACCCUGGAACUGCAUUCGAU
rnacentral:rRNA from 1 species